AGGCAGAAGCCUCAUCUACUUCUCCAAGAAAAUAAAUCAAAACUUUGUGAAAAAAAUUCAUAAACACCCUUGUAAGUGGAAACACGGUUUCCGGCCUCCUACCUGGAUUGCUCCCAAAUAGGGCAGAGAGCAUCUUGGACACGGGAAAGCUGAACACUUGUAGUAUUGGGUUGCAAGAUGGAAAGGAUUGUUGCAAGAAAGUUGGACUUGUACUUUGCCACAGCCACAAACUAAACAGGUCGAGUCUGGUUUGCCUGUGACCAUAACUGG